GGGAUUAUAGUUUAAACAACAUUUAAUUUGCAUUUAAAAAAUAUUGAAAAUUCAAUUAUUCUCA
rnacentral:tRNA from 1 species